rnacentral:lncRNA from 1 species
GUUCUUGGUGGCCAAUUUAGUGUCUAUUUCUGCGAUAAUGGUGAUGGAUUAGCUGAUGCUCGUUUUGUUAUUGCAGAGUCCUCUUCUAAGUCUUCUCGUGGCUGAGUGUUCUUCUAAUUCUUCUCGUGGCAGAGUCUUCUUCUAAUUCUUCUCAUGGGCAGAGUCUUCUUCUAAUUCUUCUCGUGACAUAGCUGCUGCUCGUUUUUGUUAUUGCUUGUUCUAAUUCUUCUCCUGGCAGAGUCUUCUUCUAAUUCUUCUCGUGAUGGCAGAGUCUUCUUCUAAUUCUUCUCGGACAUAGCUCGUUUUUGUUAUAGCGGAGUGGUAGCCAAUCAAUUUACUGAUACGACACCUAUGAAUGGUGGUCGUCGAUUCUGUAAAUGUCCUCGUUACGAGAGCAAUGGUUGUCGUUAUUGGGAAUGGCGCGAUAAAGAACUUCCACCUCAUGUAUCAAUAUUCAUCCACAAACAAAAAAUUACAGUGGAUGCUCUUCGCCAAGAAAGGAAUAAGUUUAGGAAGAUGGUCGAUGACAUGGUGGGUAGUAAAGCUGGAAAUCUGAAUAAUGUAG